AACGAACGCUGGCGGCAUGCCUAACACAUGCAAGUCGAACGAGACCUUCGGGUCUAGCGGCGCACGGGUGCGUAACGCGUGGGAACCUGCCCUUAGGUUCGGAAUAACUCCCCGAAAGGGGUGCUAAUACCGGAUAAUGUCUUCGGACCAAAGAUUUAUCGCCUUUGGAUGGGCCCGCGUUGGAUUUGCUAGUUGGUAGGGUAAAAGCCUACCAAGGCGACGAUCCAUAGCUGGUCUGAGAGGAUGAUCAGCCACACUGGGACUGAGACACGGCCCAGACUCCUACGGGAGGCAGCAGUGGGGAAUAUUGGACAAUGGGCGAAAGCCUGAUCCAGCAAUGCCGCGUGAGUGAUGAAGGCCUUAGGGUUGUAAAGCUCUUUUACCCGGGAUGAUAAUGACAGUACCGGGAGAAUAAGCUCCGGCUAACUCCGUG
rnacentral:rRNA from 1 species